CAGCCCUGUUCAAGUAAUCCAGGAUAGGCUGUUAUCAAAGCCUGGCCUAUCCUUGGUUACUUGCAUUGGGAA
rnacentral:pre_miRNA from 1 species